rnacentral:rRNA from 1 species
GACGUAGGGGACGAGCGUUGUCCGGAUUCAUUGGGCGUAAAGCGCGCGUAGGCGGUUACGCAAGUCGGUUGUGAAAGCCCCGGGCUCAACCUGGGAAUUGCAUUCGAGACUGAAUAGCUAGGGUACGGUAGAGGGAAGCGGAAUUUCCGGUGUAGCGGUGAAAUGCGUAGAUAUCGGAAGGAACAUCAGUGGCGAAAGCGGCUUCCUGGACCAGUACCGACGUUCAGGCACGAAAGCGUGGGGAGCAAACAGG